UUGCUCUCUGGGUGGCGAGUGGCGGACGGGUGAGGAAUACAUCGGAAUCUACUCUGUCGUGGGGGAUAACGUAGGGAAACUUACGCUAAUACCGCAUACGACCUACGGGUGAAAGCAGGGGAUCUUCGGACCUUGCGCGAUUGAAUGAGCCGAUGUCGGAUUAGCUAGUUGGCGGGGUAAAGGCCCACCAAGGCGACGAUCCGUAGCUGGUCUGAGAGGAUGAUCAGCCACACUGGAACUGAGACGCGGUCCAGACUCCUACGGGAGGCAGCAGUGGGGAAUAUUGGACAAUGGGCGCAAGCCUGAUCCAGCCAUACCGCGUGGGUGAAGAAGGCCUUCGGGUUGUAAAGCCCUUUUGUUGGGAAAGAAAUCCAGCCGGCUAAUACCUGGUUGGGAUGACGGUACCCAAAGAAUAAGCACCGGCUAACUUCGUGCCAGCAGCCGCGGUAAUACGAAGGGUGCAAGCGUUACUCGGAAUUACUGGGCGUAAAGCGUGCGUAGGUGGUCGUUUAAGUCCGUUGUGAAAGCCCUGGGCUCAACCUGGGAACUGCAGUGGAUACUGGGCGACUAGAGUGUGGUAGAGGGUAGCGGAAUUCCUGGUGUAGCAGUGAAAUGCGUAGAGAUCAGGAGGAACAUCCAUGGCGAAGGCAGCUACCUGGACCAACACUGACACUGAGGCACGAAAGCGUGGGGAGCAAACAGGAUUAGA
rnacentral:rRNA from 1 species